rnacentral:rRNA from 1 species
AUUGAACGCUGGCGGAAUGCUUUACACAUGCAAGUCGAACGGUAGAGGGGGCAACCCCUUGAGAGUGGCGAACGGGUGAGUAAUAUAUCGGAACGUGCCCAGUCGUGGGGAUAACGUAGCGAAAGUUACGCUAAUAACCGCAUACGAUCUAAGGAUGAAAGCGGGGGAUCGCAAGACCUCGCGCGAUUGGAGCGGCCGAUAUCAGAUUAGGUAGUUGGUGAGGUAAAGGCUCACCAAGCCAACGAUCNGUAGCUGGUCUGAGAGGACGACCAGCCACACUGGAACUGAGACACGGUCCAGACUCCUACGGGAGGCAGCAGUGGGAAUUUUGGA